rnacentral:tRNA from 1 species
GGAGGCUUCGCCUAGUCCGGUCUAUGGCGCCGCACUGCUAAUGCGGUUUGGGCCUACAGCCCAUCCGGGGUUCAAAUCCCCGAGCCUCCG